AUUGAACGCUGGCGGCAGGCCUAACACAUGCAAGUCGAGCGGAUGGAGGGGGCUCGCGCCUGGCUUCAGUUGGCGACGGGCGGGUGAUUCCCAGGAAUCUACCUGGCCUAUAGGGCUAACGUCCGUAAACGGGCGCUGAUACCGCAUACGUCCUGAUGUUGAAAGUGGUGGAUCUUCGGAGCUCACGCUACUUGAUGUGCCUAGGUUGGAUUAGCUAGUUGGUUAGGUAAAGGCGUACCAAGGCGACGAUCCGUAGCUGAUCUGAGAGGGUGAUCAGUCACACUGGAACUGAGACACGGUCCAGACUCCUACGGGAGGCAGCAGUAGGGAAUAUUCGACAAUGGGCGAAAGCCUGAUGCAGCAAUGCCGCGUGAGUGAUGAAGGUCUUCGGAUCGUAAAACUCUGUUAGUUGGGAAGAAGAGAUGUGUAAGUAAAUCUGCCUGUCUUGACGGUACCAACACAGAAAGCACCGGCUAACUACGUG
rnacentral:rRNA from 1 species